rnacentral:lncRNA from 1 species
CCGACUCCCGCGACGGGCCCGGCUGACCAUAGGAGGGAUCCGAAGUUCUACCCGGCGUCCUUCAGCUGGCCACCGACCUAAGGUCGGACGACUCCAGGCGCCGUACUACCGCCAGGGACUGUCAGCCCUGACAACGGCAUGCGGCGCUACCGCCUAGCGGCAUUAUCCCGCCUAUAGCUUUGUCAACCUUAGUGAUUUGACGGUCCCAUGGCGAUUUGACACCUUUACAACGACUCUGACAUUCUACAGUGAAUUGACAAUUCUUCAAUUGUCCGCGCCAUUAAUGACGGCGCCAUACCAUGCUCCACUAUAUAUAUCAGGGAAGGCAACAGUGCUUGGGGGUUCUUCCGAAAACUCUCAGGCUUGCUCCCUUUCUUUCUCUCCCUUGAUUGAGCUCUCUGUCUUCAUUUCACUGUUGCCCAGUCUCCUUUCUGACUUGACCGUCGGAGGGUCCCCGCCGGAGCCGCCUCCGGUCAG